rnacentral:rRNA from 1 species
GACGAACGCUGGCGGCGUGCUUAACACAUGCAAGUCGAACGGAAAGGCCCUGCUUUUGUGGGGUGCUCGAGUGGCGAACGGGUGAGUAACACGUGAGUAACCUGCCCUUGACUUUGGGAGAACUUCAGGAAACUGGGGCUAAUACCGGAUAGGAGCUCCUGCUGCAUGGUGGGGGUUGGAAAGUUUCGGCGGUUGGGGAUGGACUCGCGGAUUAUGAGCUUGUUGGUGGGGUAGUGGCUUACCAAGGCUUUGACGGGUAGCCGGCCUGGGAGGGUGACCGGCCACAUUGGUACUGAGAUACGGCCCAGACGCCUACGUGAGGCAGUGGGCGGGAAUAUUGCACAAUGGGCGGAAGCCUGUUGCAGCAACGCCGCGUGCGUGAUGACGUCCUUCGGGUUGUAAACCGCUUUCGCCUGAGACGAAGCGUGAGUGACGGUAAUGGGUAAAGAAGCACCGGCUAACUACGUG